CAGAUGUCUGCCAGAGAGUGGGGAAGAGAAGGGACCGGCACAGGGCCCCCCUCCAUCCCCUACCUAUUAGUGAAGAUCCGUUUGGCAGAAUAGCUGUUGAUAGUUGCUACAGAACCUCGGGCCAAUCGCACGUCCCCUUGACGGCGACUUUGCAAUCGGAUGUUUGCCCUAUCAACUUUUGAUGCCACUUUCUGCGCGUAUCAUGGUGACCACGGGUAACUGGGAAUCAGGGUUCGAUUCAGAGAGGGAGCCUGAGAAAUGGCUACCACAUCCAAGGAAGGCAGCAGGUUCGCAAAUUAACCACUCCCAACACGGGGAGGUAGUGA